GUCGAGAAUCAUUCACAAUGGGGGAAACCCUGAUGCAGCGACGCCGCGUGAGCGAUGAAGUAUUUCGGUAUGUAAAGCUCUAUCAGCAGGGAAGAAAAUGACGGUACCUGACUAAGAAGCCCCGGCUAACUACGUGCCAGCAGCCGCGGUAAUACGUAGGGGGCAAGCGUUAUCCGGAUUUACUGGGUGUAAAGGGAGCGUAGACGGCGGUGCAAGCCAGAUGUGAAAGCCCGGGGCUCAACCCCGGGACUGCAUUUGGAACUGUGCUGCUAGAGUGUCGGAGAGGCAGGCGGAAUUCCUAGUGUAGCGGUGAAAUGCGUAGAUAUUAGGAGGAACACCAGUGGCGAAGGCGGCCUGCUGGACGAUGACUGACGUUGAGGCUCGAAAGCGUGGGGAGCAAACAGGA
rnacentral:rRNA from 1 species